rnacentral:rRNA from 1 species
AACGAACGCUGGCGGCAUGUUUAACACAUGCAAGUCGAACGAAGCCUUCGGGCUUAGUGGCGCACGGGUGCGUAACGCGUGGGAAUCUGCCCUUAGGUACGGAAUAACUCAGGGAAACUUGUGCUAAUACCGUAUGAUGUCGCGAGACCAAAGAUUUAUCGCCUAGGGAUGAGCCCGCGUUGGAUUAGCUAGUUGGUGAGGUAAAGGCUCACCAAGGCGACGAUCCAUAGCUGGUCUGAGAGGAUGAUCAGCCACACUGGGACUGAGACACGGCCCAGACUCCUACGGGAGGCAGCAGUAGGGAAUUUUCCACAAAUGGACGAAAAGUCUGAUGGAGCAAACGCCGCGUGCAGGAUGAAUGCCUUCGGGUUGUAAACUGCUUUUAUCUGUGACGAAUAUGACGGUAGCAGAUGAAUAAGGAUACGGCUAAACUCCGUGCCAGCAGCCGCGGUAAU